rnacentral:lncRNA from 1 species
ACAAAAAUUGACUAUUUUAUUAUUUUAGUUUCUGGCGGUUAUUAUUUUAGUUUUCUGGCGGUUAUAAACGACAUAAAUUGACUAUUUUAUUAUUUAAAAAUGUUAUAUUGAUUAAAAAUAAAUAAAUAAACACAUGGUUUAAAUAUAUUUUUUUCACUCGUGGCCCUGUCGGAUAUAACCGACACGAACAAAGAAAAAUUUUGGGCGGCCGCCAGAAUAAUCUCUUAAUGUUUUUUUUUCACUCAUGAUCCCGUUACCUAAUCUCUGAAUGUUUUUUUUUUGUUUUUUUUUUGCGAUUUUUUACACAUGCUAUCUCAAAGUAUAUACAAACACAUUUGACUAUUGGAUCGUUGAAACUAGUUUCGUAGAAUGCAUAUCUUAUCAAAUUGAUAGAUUUAACAAACACUUAGAGUUAAUGUUAUACUUCCAUUAAGUAUAAUUGAAGAUUGAAUUCAUUCAUUGCAUUCUUAUAGGGUCGAAGAGUGUAGCUGUAAAAAAUCAUCAAAAUCGGAGCUAAAAUAACCGUUAAAUUGUGAUUUUUCGUUUAUAACCAUUGAAAACUUUUGUUCUGUUACCUAAUCUCUGAAUGUUUAUUUUUUGCGAUUUUUUAUGUAUGCGAUCUCAGAAUGUAUACAAACAAGUUUGACGGUUGGAUCGUUGAAAAACGUUUCGUAGAAUGCAUAUCGCAUCAAAAUGGUAGAUUAAACAAAAACUUAGAGUUAAUGUUAUACUUCCCCAUCAAGUAUAAAAUAAAAUUUUGUGGUAUUCACUAGUGUAAAUAUUUUAAAUUGAAGAUCGAAUUCAUUCAAUGCAUUCUUAUAGGAGUGUAGCUAUAAAAAAUCAUCAAAAUGGAGUUAAAAUAACCGUUAAAUUGUGAUUUUUUGUUUAUAACCGUCGAAAACUUUUGUUCUGUUACCUAAUCUUUGAAUGUUUGUUUUUUGUGAUUUUUUACGUAUGCAAUCUCAGAGUGUGUACAAACAAGUUUGACGGUUCGAUCAUCGAAAAAAGUUUUGUAGAAUGUGUAUCGCAUCAAAACGGUAGAGUAAAUAAACACUUAAGAGUUAAUGUUAUACUUCCACUUAGUAUAAAAUAAGAUUUUAUAGUAUCCACUAGUGUAAAUAUUUUAAAUUGAAGAUCAAAUUUAUUCAUUACAUUCUUAUAAGGCCGAGGAGUGUAGCUGUAAAAAAUCAUUAAAAUCGGAGCUAAAGUAACCGUUAAAUUGUGAUUUUUCAUUUAUAACAGUCGAAAACUUUUGUUCCAUUACGUAAUCUCUAAAUGUUUUUUUUUUUUACAAUUUUUUACUUUGCAAUCUCAGAGUGUGUACAAAUAAGUUUGACGGUUAGAUAGUUGAAAAAGUUUCGUAGAAUGCAUAUCAGGUCAAAACGGUAGAUAAACAAACACUUAAGAGUUAAUGUUAUACUUCCCAUCAAGUAUAAAAUAAGAUUUUGUGGUACCCACUGGUGUAAAUAUUUUAAAUUGAAGAUCGAAUUCAUUCAAUGCAUUCUUAUAGGGUCGAUGAGUGUAGCUGUAAAAAAUUAUCAAAAUCGGAGCUAAAAUAACCGUUGAAUUGUGAUUUUUCGUUUCUAACCGUCGAAAACUUUUGUUGUGUUACCUAAUCUUUGAAUGUUUGUUUUUUGUGAUUUUUUACGUAUGCGAUCUCGGAGUGUGUACAAACAAGUUUGACGGUUAGAUCAUUGAAAAAAGUUUUAUAGAAUGUGUAUCGCAUCAAAACGGUAGAUUAAAUAAACACUUAAGAGUUAAUGUUGUACUUCCAUUAAGUAUAAAAUAAGAUUUUGUGGUAUCCACCAGUGUAAAUAUUUUAAAUUGAAAAUCAAAUUGAUUCAUUACAUUCUUAUAGGGUCGAGGAGUGUAGCUGUAAAAAAUCAUUAAAAUUGAAGCUAAAAUAACCGUUAAAUUAUUAUUUUUCGUUUAUAACCAUCGAAAACUUUUAUUCCGUUACGUAAUCUCUGAAUGUUUAUUUUUUACGAUUUUUUUAUAUGUAUGCAAUCUCGGAGUGUGUACAAAUAAGUUUGACGUUUGGAUCGUUGAAAAAAGUUUCGUAGAAUGCAUAUCGCGUCAAAAUGGUAGAUUAAACAAACACUUAGAGUUACUAUUAUACUUCCAUUAAGUAUAAAAUAAGAUUUUGUGGUAUCCACUAGUAUUAAUAUUUUAAAUUGAAGAUCAAAUUCGUUCAUUGCAUUCUUAUAGGGUCGAUAAGUGUAGCUGUAAAAAAAAAAUCAUCAAAACCAGAGCUAAAAUAACCAUUAAAUUGUGAUUUUUCGUUUAUAACCGUCGAAAACUUUUGCUCCGUUACCUAAUCUUUGAAUGAUUUUGUUUUUUUUUUUUUUUUUGCGAUUUUUUACGUAUGCGAUCUUGUAGUGUCUACAAACAAGUUUGAUGGUUAGAUCAUAGAAACUAGUUUCUUAGAAUGCAUAUCUCCGUUAAAUUUGCCUAAAUUUUGAAGUGGGAAAAGUAAUUUGUGCUAAAUUUAUAUUUAUGUUUUUCAAGUAUUGAUUAGACAAUAUUUAGUUUGUGUGAUGACAUUUUCAUUGUACAAUUAUCUUUUUGUUUUUUUAUCGCAUAUUUUACAUGGGUUAUUAUCUAUUAAACCAAACAAUUAUUUAUUUAAUUUUUAAAAAUGUAUUCUAUUUAAAUAC